AAAUUCCUUCAAAUAUGAAAAUAAGGUUUUACGACUUAAAAAUAAUAAAUGGAUUUUU
rnacentral:tRNA from 1 species